rnacentral:rRNA from 1 species
AGUGAACGCUGGCGGUAGGCCUAACACAUGCAAGUCGAACGGCAGCACAGUAAGAGCUUGCUCUUACGGGUGGCGAGUGGCGGACGGGUGAGGAAUACAUCGGAAUCUACUUUUUCGUGGGGGAUAACGUAGGGAAACUUACGCUAAUACCGCAUACGACCUACGGGUGAAAGCAGGGGAUUUUCGGACUUUGCGCGAUUGAAUGAGCCGAUGUCGGAUUAGCUAGUUGGCGGGGUAAAGGCCCACCAAGGCGACGAUCCGUAGCUGGUCUGAGAGGAUGAUCAGCCACACUGGAACUGAGACACGGUCCAGACUCCUACGGGAGGCAGCAGUGGGGAAUAUUGGACAAUGGGCGCAAGCCUGAUCCAGCCAUACCGCGUGGGUGAAGAAGGCCUUCGGGUUGUAAAGCCCUUUUGUUGGGAAAGAAAAGCAGCAGGUUAAUACCCCGCUGUUCUGACGGUACCCAAAGAAUAAGCACCGGCUAACUUCGUG